rfam:Triticum aestivum genome assembly, contig: Triticum_aestivum_CS42_TGACv1_scaffold_542504_6DS
UUAGUACUCCCUCCGUCCGGAAAUACUUGUCCGAGGAAUGGACGUAUCUAGAUGUAUUUUAGUUCUAGAUACAUCCAUUUGUAUCCAUUUCUACGACAAGUAUUUCCGGACGGAGGGAAUACUAA